UUCGCCUUGUGCCAGCCGCCGCGUAAUUCCAGCUCCAAUAGCGUAUAUUAAAGUUGUUGCAGUUAAAAAGCUCGUAGUUGAAACUUGGGCCUGGCUGGCGGGUCCGCCUCACCGCGUGCACUCGUCCGGCCGGGCCUUCCUUCUGAAGAACCUCAUGCCCUUCACUGGGCGUGCUGGGGAAUCGGGACUUUUACUUUGAAAAAAUUAGAGUGUUCAAAGCAGGCCUUUGCUCGAAUACGUUAGCGUGGAAUAAUAAAAUAGGGCGUGCGUUUCUAUUUUGUUGGUUUCUAGAGACGCCGCAAUGAUUAACAGGAACAGUCGGGGGCAUCAGUAUUCAGUUGUCAGAGGUGAAAUUCUUGGAUUUACUGAAGACUAACUACUGCGAAAGCAUUUGCCAAGGAUGUUUUCAUUAAUCAGUGAACGAAAGUUAGGGGAUCGAAGACGAUCAGAUACCGUCGUAGUCUUAACCGUAAACUAUGCCGACUAGGGAUCGGGCGAUGUUCUUUUUCUGACUCGCUCGGCACCUUACGAGAAAUCAAAGUUUUUGGGUUCUGGGGGGAUUAUGGUCGCAAGGCUGAAACUUAAAGAAAUUGACGGAAGGUCACCACCAGGCGUGGAGCCUGCGGCCUAAUUUGACUCAACACGGGGAAACUCACCAGGUCCAGAUGAAAUAAGGGAUUGACAGAUUGAGAGCUCUUUCUUGAUUUUUCAGGUGGUGGUGCAUGGCCGUUCUUAGUUCGUGGGGUGACUUGUCUGCUUAAUUGCGAUACGAGCGAGACCUUA
rnacentral:rRNA from 1 species